UACGUAGGGUCCGAGCGUUGUCCGGAUUUAUUGGGCGUAAAGAGCUCGUAGGCGGUUCCGUAAGUCAGAUGUGAAAACUCAGGGCUCAACCCGGAGACGCCAUCUGAUACUGCGGUGACUGGAGUCUGGUAGGGGAACACGGAAUUCCUGGUGUAGCGGUGAAAUGCGCAGAUAUCAGGAGGAACACCGGUGGCGAAGGCGGCAUCCUGGACCAACACUGACACUGAGGAGCGAAAGCCAGGGGAGCAAACGGG
rnacentral:rRNA from 1 species